UACGAAGGGGGCUAGCGUUGCUCGGAAUCACUGGGCGUAAAGCGCACGUAGGCGGCUUUUUAAGUCAGGGGUGAAAUCCUGGAGCUCAACUCCAGAACUGCCUUUGAUACUGGGAAGCUUGAGUCCGGAAGAGGUGAGUGGAACUCCGAGUGUAGAGGUGAAAUUCGUAGAUAUUCGGAAGAACACCAAUGGCGAAGGCGGCUCACUGGUCCGGUACUGACGCUGAGGUGCGAAAGCGUGGGGAGCAAACAGG
rnacentral:rRNA from 1 species